UACGUAGGAUGCAAGCGGUGUCCGGCUUUAUUGGGUUUAAAGGGGGCGUGGGCGGACUAUUAAGUUAGUGGUGAAAACGUUCGGCUUAACCGGUUACCCGCCAUUGAUACUGAUAGACUUGAGUGCGACAGAGGGUGUUGGAAUGUGUGGUGUAGCGGUGAAAUGCUUAGAUAUCACGCAGAACACCAAUUGCGAAGGCAGAUGCCUAUGUCGUAACUGACGCUGAGGCACGAAAGCGUGGGGAGCAAACAGG
rnacentral:rRNA from 1 species